rnacentral:rRNA from 1 species
AACGAACGCUGGCGGCAGGCUUAACACAUGCAAGUCGAACGCAUCCUUCGGGGUGAGUGGCAGACGGGUGAGUAACGCGUGGGAACGUGCCCUUCAGUUCGGGAUAACCCAGGGAAACUUGGGCUAAUACCGGAUACGUGCGAGAGCAGAAAGAUUUAUCGCUGAAGGAUCGGCCCGCGUCUGAUUAGCUAGUUGGUGGGGUAAUGGCCCACCAAGGCGACGAUCAGUGGCUGGUCUGAGAGGAUGAUCAGCCACAUUGGGACUGAGACACGGCCCAAACUCCUACGGGAGGCAGCAGUGGGGAAUAUUGGACAAUGGGCGCAAGCCUGAUCCGGCCAUUCCGCGUGAGUGAUGAAGGCCUUAGGGUUGUAAAGCUCUUUCGUCCGGGACGAUAAUGACGGUACCGGAAGAAGAAGCCCCGGCUAACUUCGUGCCAGCCGCCGCAGUAA